rnacentral:rRNA from 1 species
AUUGAACGCUGGCGGCAGGCCUAACACAUGCAAGUCGAACGAGUGGCGGACGGGUGAGUAAUGUCUGGGAAACUGCCUGAUGGAGGGGGAUAACUACUGGAAACGGUAGCUAAUACCGCAUACCAUCGGAUGUGCCCAGAUGGGAUUAGCUAGUAGGUGGGGUAAAGGCUCACCUAGGCGACGAUCCCUAGCUGGUCUGAGAGGAGGACCGGCACCACGGGAACUGAGCAACGGUCCAGACUCCUCCGGGGGGCAACAGUGGGAAAUAGUGAAAAUGGGGCGCAAGCCUGAGUCACCAAUGCGGGGGGUAGGAAUAAGGCCCGGGGGUUUUAAAUCACUUUCAGCGGGGAGGCUUUACCCAAAUAAAAAGCACCGGCUAACUCCGUGCCAGCAGCCGCGGUAUUUC